GAUGAACGCUGGCGGCGUGCCUAACACAUGCAAGUCGAGCGGAAAUAAUAUGAUUGAUCCUGUCUUCGGUUUAAGUCGGUUGUGUUAGCGGAAGGGUGAGUAACGCGUGGGUAACCUGCCUUAUGCAGGGGGAUACCAAUCAGAAAUGGCUGCUAAUAUCGCAUAAGCGGGCUGAGCUGCAUGGGACAGUUUGGAUGACUCUGGUGGUAUAAGACGGACCCGCGUCGGAUUAGCUAGUUGGGACGGUAACCGCCUACCAAGGUGAGGAUCCGAAACUGGUAUGAGAGGGUGAUCCGCCAGCCUGGAACUGAGACACGGUGCAGACUCCUAGGGUAGGCCGCAGUCGGGAAUCUUACGCGAUGGAGCAGAGGCUGAUAUAGCACAGCCGCGUGAGUGCUGAAGGUCUUAGGACGGUAAAACGCUGAAGUUAGGGAGGAAGUAAAGUGCUAUUAGCAAUGAACGUAUUGACGGUACCUAACUAAGAAGCCCCGGCUAACUACGUG
rnacentral:rRNA from 1 species